rnacentral:rRNA from 1 species
CACACGACUCUCGGCAACGGAUAUCUUGGCUCUCGCAUCGAUGAAGAACGUAGCGAAAUGCGAUACCUGGUGUGAAUUGCAGAAUCCCGUGAACCAUCGAGUCCUUGAACGCAAGUUGCGCCCGAGGCCAUUCGGCCGAGGGCACGCCUGCCUGGGCGUCACGC